AACGAACGCUGGCGGCAUGCCUAACACAUGCAAGUCGAACGAGGGCUUCGGCCCUAGUGGCGCACGGGUGAGUAACGCGUGGGAACCUGCCCUGUGGUACGGAAUAACUCCGGGAAACUGGAGCUAAUACCGUAUGCGUCUUGAGGGACAAAGAUUUAUCGCCAUGGGAUGGGCCCGCGUAGGAUUAGCUUGUUGGUGGGGUAACGGCCUACCAAGGCAACGAUCCUUAGCUGGUCUGAGAGGAUGAUCAGCCACACUGGGACUGAGACACGGCCCAGACUCCUACGGGAGGCAGCAGUGGGGAAUAUUGGACAAUGGGCGCAAGCCUGAUCCAGCAAUGCCGCGUGAGUGAUGAAGGCCUUCGGGUUGUAAAGCUCUUUCGCACGCGACGAUGAUGACGGUAGCGUGAGAAGAAGCCCCGGCUAACUUCGUGCCAGCAGCCGCGGUAAUACGAAGGGGGCUAGCGUUGUUCGGAAUUACUGGGCGUAAAGGGCGCGUAGGCGGUACUUCAAGUCAGGCGUGAAAGCCCCGGGCUCAACCUGGGAACCGCGCUUGAGACUGGAGAACUAGAGUUCGGGAGAGGAUGGUGGAAUUCCCAGUGUAGAGGUGAAAUUCGUAGAUAUUGGGAAGAACACCGAUGGCGAAGGCAGCCAUCUGGACCGACACUGACGCUGAGGCGCGA
rnacentral:rRNA from 1 species